rnacentral:rRNA from 1 species
AGUGAACGCUGGCGGCGUGCCUAAUACAUGCAAGUCGAACGGAGUGGCGCACGGGUGUGUAAUAUAUAGCUAAUCUGCCCCUUGCUGGAGGACAACAGUUAGAAAUGACUGCUAAUACUCCAUAGCAAGGGAUGAGACUAUAUCGUAUCAGCUAGUCGGUGGGGUAACGGCCUACCGAGGCUAUGAAGCGUAACUGGUCUGAGAGGAUGAUCAGUCACAUUGGAACUGGUACACGGUCCAAACUCCUACGGUAGGCAGCAGUAGUGAAUAUUGCGCAAUGGGGGAAACCCUGACGCAGCAACGCAGCGUGGGGGAUGACACGUUUCGGAGCGUAAACUCCAUUUGUUAGGGAAGCGGUACCUAACAAAUAAGCACCGGCUAACUCCGUGCCAGCAGCCGCGGUAAUUC